rnacentral:rRNA from 1 species
GACGAACGCUGGCGGCGUGCUUAACACAUGCAAGUCGAACGGAAAGGUCCUGCUUUUGUGGGGUGCUCGAGUGGGGCACGGGUGAGUAACACAUGAGUAACCCGCCCUUGACUUUGGGAUAACUUCAGGAAACUGGGGCUAAUACCGGAUAGGAGCUCCUGCUGCAUGGGGGUGGUUGGAAAGUUACGGCGGUUGUGGAUCGACUCGCGGCUUACGAGCUUGUUUGUGGGGUAGUUGCGUACCAAGGCUUAGACGGCUAGCCUGCCUGGGAGGUUGGACGGGCACCAGAGGACUGAGGUAGGCACCAGUCUCCUACGGGAGGCAGCAGUGGGGAGUCUUACACAGUGAGGCGGAGCGUGUGACAGAGGCGCCGCGAGCGGGAAGACGGCCUUCGGGUGAUAAACCGCUUUCGCAUGAGACGUAGCGUGAGUGACGGUAAUGGGUAAAGAAGCACCGGCUAACUACGUG